UACGGAGGGGGCAAGCGUUGUUCGGAAUUAUUGGGCGUAAAGAGCAUGUAGGCGGUUUAGUAAGUUAGAAGUGAAAUCCCGGGGCUCAACCUCGGAACUGCUUCUAAAACUGCUAUACUAGAGAUCGAAAGGGGAUGGUGGAAUUCCUAGUGUAGAGGUGAAAUUCGUAAAUAUUAGGAGGAACGCCGGUGGCGAAGGCGACCAUCUGGGUCGAUACUGACGCUGAGAUGCGAAAGCGUGGGGAGCAAACAGG
rnacentral:rRNA from 1 species